AAGAAAUAACWAUACGGGGCUUAAUGUCUUGUAAUUGGAAUGAUGGGAAUUUAAACCUCUUCCAGAGUAUCAAUUGGAGGGCAAGUCUGGUGCCAGCAGCCGCGGUAAUUCCAGCUCCAAUAGCGUAUAUUAAAAUUGUUGCAGUUAAAAAGCUCGUAGUUGAAUUUCUGCUGCAUUUCAUUUCUCUUUCUGAGUUUGUUUUUGCGGCUUAUUUCGGUUUGAUUUUUUCUUUCCGGAUGAUUACUUUGAGAAAAUUAGAGUGCUCAAAGCAGGCUUUUGCCUUGAAUAGUUUAGCAUGGAAUAAUAAAGUAGGACUUUGGUUCUAUUUUGUUGGUUUUAGGUACCAAAGUAAUGGUUAAUAGGAACAGUUGGGGGCAUUCGUAUUUAACUGUCAGAGG
rnacentral:rRNA from 1 species